UAUUGGUGCUGGAACGGCGU
rnacentral:misc_RNA from 1 species